AGGCUGAAACCUCCGUCACAGUUUCCCAGAGUGGCUGCUGAGUCAGUGAACGUCUCUGAGUUGGCGAGCAGGGAUGUGGCGAUGGAGGUCAAUCUAGACUCUGUUGUUUUUGUUUCAAGCCUGACGAGCCAGACGUGGCUGCGGCAGGAACCAUAUAAAGAAGAGUGUCUGGGCGUCUGUUUAAAACUGGAUGUGGCUCAGGACUCUGCAGGAGGUCAUGAAGGCCACACAGACACACACACACAGCGGCGAUCCUGAAGAGGGAGUAAACACAACAAAAACAAUACGGGACCCAAGACAGAACCUUGUGCCAUACCAUAGGCAAGAGAAGUGAGAGAGGACAUGAACUUGGAGGUAGCCACAGAGAAGGAUUGUUCACACAGAUAGGAUUUAAACCACUCCAAAGCAGUUCCUGAUAUGUGCACCCAGUGUUUUAGUCUAACAGAAUAUGAUGGCCGACAGUAUCGAAGGCAGAGGUCAGUUCCAACAACAGUAAAACAGUGCACUCGCCGGCAUAAUAAUUCAUCAAUAUAUCACUGGACACUCUAAGAAUUGCAGUUUCGGUGGAAUGAGCUCUACGAAAACCAGAUUGGAAAUGAUCAAGAAUGUUAUCUGCAUCAAAAACCACUGUGAGUUGCUUGGCCACAACCUUCUCUAAAAUCUUGGCAAUAAAUGGUAAUUUUGAGAUAGGUCUAUGGUUGAUAAGCAGAGAAGCAUCAAGUUUGGUUGUUGUUGUUGUUUUUACCAGUGGGUGAAUAACAGCGCUUUUACAAAAAACAGGGACCUGACCAGAAAGCAGAGAGGCAUUGUAAGCACACUAGGACCAGUGGACUGAAAGACCUUUUUAAACAAAGGUCCAGAUAAAACAUCAAGAGGGCAGGAGGACGAUUUAAUUGAAUCAACUAAUUUGACCACCUCAGGUAAGGACACUGGUAAAAACCUUUCUAAAGUAACAGGCCUAAAAGAAUUUGGAGCAGAUAAGAGGUACACAGAAGGAGAGAUAUCGUUCCUCACCUUGUUAACUUUUCCAACAAAGAACGAAAGAAAGUUUUCACAGUCAUCAUUCGAUGAAAUUGGGACAGCAGGUGGAGCAGGAGCAACAAUAUCACUAAUGGCAUCAAAAAGUACCUUGGGGUUACCUCAGCUCUUUGAGACUAAGUCAGAGAAAUAGGCAGCCCUUGCAUUUCGAACUGAAGUGUUAAGAGAAGCUAAAAGGUCUUUUAAAUGAAGAAGAUGAACCUGUAACUGAGUUUUUCUCCACAAACGCUCCACUUUACGACAUGCACGCUUUAAGCAGCAAAUGCUUUCGUUUAUCCAGGGGGAUGAUUUUAAGACAGGAGCUAAUCUGGAUUUAACAGGACAAAUAUGAUCUAAAAUAGAGAGACAAUGACUAUUAAAAAGAUCAACAUCAUUAGAGACAGGCAAGACUAGAAAAGGAGAGAGGGACCAGUGUGUGUCCUUUGGUAUAUGCGGGGCCAGACACAUGCUGUGUAAAAUGAAAGGAGCCUAUGAUGCCAAAAAAACCUCUGGCAAAGAGGUCCGAGUCAUCAUCAAUGUGUAUGUUAAAAUCCCCAAUUACAACCAGUCUGGACAGCUUCAGGGUGGAAGAUAAAAAGUCACUGAACUCCUUUAAGAACUGACCAUUUAUUCCAGGUGGAUGAUACACUACAGCACAGUAACACAGAUCUUUAUUUCCAAUUUUAACCAGCUGUUCAAACGACGAAAAAUUCUUGACCAUUAAUGAGCGACAAUAGAUCCGACUUCGAUACACCACAGCAAGAUCCCCUCCUCGACCAGACGUCCGAGGCUGGCUAGUGAAGGAGUACCCGCCCAAGCAAAGUUCGAUGAGGGAUGGUGUCAUGCCUGCACAGAUCAGAUCGUUUCCUCUGAAUGUUCUCAGACUCUACAGAAGAAAUCAACUUUGAAGGGCUCAUCCUAGGAAUGAAUUCUUGAAGCACAGCAGCCAUUCUCCUGGUCUCACUUCUCUCAGACUUGGAAGCUGGAAUCUUCAGAUAAAAACUAGGAAAACAUCUAACUUCUAUCUGGAUUCCCAGCUCUCAUCAGCAGCAAUGAUCCUUUAAGUGAAAUACUGCUGUGUUUCUAAACAAGAGGUAAUGUUUGUAUUCUGCAGAAGUUUGUGGUGUUGUGAAAUCACAGUAAGCAGAGUGUGAGUAUCAGAGAACUGAAGAAAGAAGCAGUCUCAACAUGACCAAGAAAAUCACCCUGAACCAGAGAUUGGAAAAAUGGAAACCAGGUUUUUAAACUUCAUGAAUUCCUUCUUGGAUUUUUCUGAUCAGACCUUUCACUUAAACUAGGUGAGGUUCAGACUGGAACAUGUCAACAUCUAGUGGAUGUGCACAGUGACCUGGGCAUCAGCACACAGUCCACGGACUACCAGAAACACGCUUUCCUGCACACAUAAGAUUAAAGGGAAGGACAGGGUAGUGCGUAAGUUUAAGUUUAAGUUUAAGAAAAGUAAGUCGAUCCUCGGGCAUGACCUGCUUUAUGCACUUUUUGAAAUGUAUUUUACAUACUGGAUGUAAUUUUGUAUUUAAUAAUCUUCAACCUAACAACGCUGUUUCACCUUUCAGACCAUUUCCUGUUUCUGAGCAGAACAAUGAUGACCUCCAACAGGAUGUUUUCUCUCCUUAAAUCAGCCGAUAGUGGUACGGUUGCCCCUCCGUUGGUCUUCCUUAGUCUCCUUUGCUCUUGGGGCCUCUGGAUGUCUGGAGCCUGGAUCUCCUCCAUACCUGCUUCAUGCCCUGGAGGACGGGACUAUGGCUCCCCACACCCUCUAGCAGAUCAUUACAUGAAGGAACCUUUUAAAUACAAGCAUGCUCAUGCUCACAAGUGUACACACGGGUGCUCACACACACAAACUACACCCUUUUUGGCUGCUACCUCAAAGCACACUGUGCGCUGUCGAUCUUAUGUGCUGCACAAUAAAAUUCGAUAUUUAGUAUUUACUGUUAUAUUCACAUAGAUCAUCACGAUGAUGUUGUUUAUUAUAUUGCUCUCUUUUUUUUGUUGCUUGUUUUCUCUUUUUUCUUUCUCAACAGGUGAUCCAGGUGAUUGAUAUAUGUAUUUUUUGUCUGUUUGUUUUGUUGGUUUUUUGCCCUUUAUCACCGUUCCUCUUCCCUGCUGUUUUUCUUUCCCUCUUUCUUUCUCCCCUUUCUUUUCCCCAGUCAAGUCUGUCCCGUGUUUAGCAAAGUGAAAAUAAAAUAAAAUAAAAUAAACAAUAAAAGCAAAGGUGAAUCAAAUAGACCAAUACGGCAAGGCUGGGUUGGUCCAUUUGGUAAAGUAAAUCCGUUGGGCAUCUUUCUUUGCCUUUAGACAAUAAUUCUGAUGGCAAAAGAACCAAACGGGACAGGCAAAAAAACCCAAUAAAUAAAUAAAUAAAUAAAUGAAUCACUGCCUCCAUCACCUAUCCCAGCAUCCACCUCUGUCACACCAACCCUGUGCAUGUCCUUCACUACAUCCAUGAACCUCCUCUGUGCUCUUCCUCUUUCUUCCUCUAAAACCAUUUUAAUGCCAUUAAAUUGAUACCAUAACCUCUUUAUAUGUAUUCUAUACCAAAGCUAAUCAAUUCAACCCCCAACAUGACUCCGUACACGUUUCUUAACCCAUUAUUCCCAGCCUUUAUCUGAGUUUAAACCCUUGAUGUGAUGAUAUGAUACAGCGCAGCCCUUCCUGCAAUCUGUAAACACAUUUUAACCCCAUUAUAUUUCUUCCGUAUAGCUAUUUACACCCAUUCUGAACCAAAACUGACCCCAGAACUCUCUUUUACUUAGAGGGGCUGGAAACUGUGGAACAGGAACGGGUCACCGAUGGAACCUGUUGGUGGUUCCUCAUUCUACACUGGAACUACCAUUACAUUUGAGAUCUGUGAAAACUUUUUAAGAGCAGCUCAAAACUUAUUUGUAUGUGGU